GAGAGAGAAAGAGUGGAGAAGAAGGUGGGUUGGUGGGGAUUUGUCUCUUAUGGCUAUAUAUUUAUAUAUUUAUAUGUGUACUUAAUUUGUUUUAAAUUUUCAUAAGCUUUUCUUUUCUUUUCUUUUCCCCCUCUCUGUGUCCUUUAUCUUUUUCAUUUCUUUGGGUUUUUGCCUUGAUUGGAAUUGGGUUGCGGAGCAAAGACUGG
rnacentral:misc_RNA from 1 species